CAGAUUGAACGCUGGCGGCAGGCCUAACACAUGCAAGUCGAGCGGAAACGAGUUAUCUGAACCUUCGGGGAACGAUAACGGCGUCGAGCGGCGGACGGGUGAGUAAUGCCUAGGAAAUUGCCCUGAUGUGGGGGAUAACCAUUGGAAACGAUGGCUAAUACCGCAUAAUGCCUACGGGCCAAAGAGGGGGACCUUCGGGCCUCUCGCGUCAGGAUAUGCCUAGGUGGGAUUAGCUAGUUGGUGAGGUAAUGGCUCACCAAGGCGACGAUCCCUAGCUGGUCUGAGAGGAUGAUCAGCCACACUGGAACUGAGACACGGUCCAGACUCCUACGGGAGGCAGCAGUGGGGAAUAUUGCACAAUGGGCGCAAGCCUGAUGCAGCCAUGCCGCGUGUGUGAAGAAGGCCUUCGGGUUGUAAAGCACUUUCAGUCGUGAGGAAGGUGGUGUAGUUAAUAGCUGCAUUAUUUGACGUUAGCGACAGAAGAAGCACCGGCUAACUCCGUGCCAGCAGCCGCGGUAAUACGGAGGGUGCGAGCGUUAAUCGGAAUUACUGGGCGUAAAGCGCAUGCAGGUGGUUUGUUAAGUCAGAUGUGAAAGCCCGGGGCUCAACCUCGGAAUAGCAUUUGAAACUGGCAGACUAGAGUACUGUAGAGGGGGGUAGAAUUUCAGGUGUAGCGGUGAAAUGCGUAGAGAUCUGAAGGAAUACCGGUGGCGAAGGCGGCCCCCUGGACAGAUACUGACACUCAGAUGCGAAAGCGUGGGGAGCAAACAGGAUUAGAUACCCUGGUAGUCCACGCCGUAAACGAUGUCUACUUGGAGGUUGUGGCCUUGAGCCGUGGCUUUCGGAGCUAACGCGUUAAGUAGACCGCCUGGGGAGUACGGUCGCAAGAUUAAAACUCAAAUGAAUUGACGGGGGCCCGCACAAGCGGUGGAGCAUGUGGUUUAAUUCGAUGCAACGCGAAGAACCUUACCUACUCUUGACAUCCAGAGAACUUUCCAGAGAUGGAUUGGUGCCUUCGGGAACUCUGAGACAGGUGCUGCAUGGCUGUCGUCAGCUCGUGUUGUGAAAUGUUGGGUUAAGUCCCGCAACGAGCGCAACCCUUAUCCUUGUUUGCCAGCGAGUAAUGUCGGGAACUCCAGGGAGACUGCCGGUGAUAAACCGGAGGAAGGUGGGGACGACGUCAAGUCAUCAUGGCCCUUACGAGUAGGGCUACACACGUGCUACAAUGGCGCAUACAGAGGGCAGCAAGCUAGCGAUAGUGAGCGAAUCCCAAAAAGUGCGUCGUAGUCCGGAUUGGAGUCUGCAACUCGACUCCAUGAAGUCGGAAUCGCUAGUAAUCGUGGAUC
rnacentral:rRNA from 1 species